AACGAACGCUGGCGGCAUGCCUAACACAUGCAAGUCGAACGAGACCUUCGGGUCUAGUGGCGCACGGGUGCGUAACGCGUGGGAACCUGCCCUUAGGUUCGGAAUAACUCCCCGAAAGGGGUGCUAAUACCGGAUAAUGUCUUCGGACCAAAGAUUUAUCGCCUUUGGAUGGGCCCGCGUUGGAUUAGCUAGUUGGUAGGGUAAAAGCCUACCAAGGCGACGAUCCAUAGCUGGUCUGAGGAUGAUCAGCCACACUGGGACUGAGACACGGCCCAGACUCCUACGGGAGGCAGCAGUGGGGAAUAUUGGACAAUGGGCGAAAGCCUGAUCCAGCAAUGCCGCGUGAGUGAUGAAGGCCUUAGGGUUGUAAAGCUCUUUUACCCGGGAUGAUAAUGACAGUACCGGGAGAAUAAGCGCCGGCUAACUCCGUG
rnacentral:rRNA from 1 species